rnacentral:rRNA from 1 species
UACGAAGGGGGCUAGCGUUGCUCGGAAUCACUGGGCGUAAAGCGCACGUAGGCGGAUUGUUAAGUCAGGGGUGAAAUCCUGGAGCUCAACUCCAGAACUGCCUUUGAUACUGACGGUCUUGAGUUCGGGAGAGGUGAGUGGAACUGCGAGUGUAGAGGUGAAAUUCGUAGAUAUUCGGAAGAACACCAGUGGCGAAGGCGGCUCACUGGUCCGGUACUGACGCUGAGGUGCGAAAGCGUGGGGAGCAAACAGG